AACGAACGCUGGCGGCGUGCUUAACACAUGCAAGUCGAACGCGAAAGGGACUUCGGUCCUGAGUAAAGUGGCGCACGGGUGAGUAACGCGUAGAUAACCUGUCUUCAUGUCUGGAAUAAUACGCCGAAAGGGGUACUAAUACCGGAUAUUCUUGCUUUUCAUAAGUUAUGCAAGCAAAGGUGGCCUCUGCAUAUGCUACUGCAUGAAGAGGGGUCUGCGUACCAUUAGCUAGUAGGUGGGGUAAUGGCCUACCUAGGCGACGAUGGUUAGCGGGUCUGAGAGGAUGAUCCGCCACACUGGCACUGGAACACGGGCCAGACUCCUACGGGAGGCAGCAGUGAGGAAUAUUGCGCAUGGGGAAACCCUGACGCAGCGACGCCGCGUGAGUGAAGGAAGGCCUUCGGGUCGUAAAGCUCUGUCAAGAGGAAAGAAGUGUACAAUGGCUAAUACCUGUUGUAUUUGACGGUACCUCUAAAGGAAGCACCGGCUAACUCCGUGCCAGCAGCCGC
rnacentral:rRNA from 1 species